rnacentral:rRNA from 1 species
UAGGGAAUUUUCCACAAUGGGCGAAAGCCUGAUGGAGCAACGCCGCGUGUGUGAUGAAGGGUUUCGGCUCGUAAAACACUGUUGUAAGAGAAGAAUGACAUUGAGAGUAACUGUUCAAUGUGUGACGGUAUCUUACCAGAAAGGAACGGCUAAAUACGUGC